rnacentral:lncRNA from 1 species
CAGCCUCUGCUAGUGAUGGCUUUACAGACAUUCCUUUCCAACUCUUUUUAUUACAUCAGAGAUUCUCUCAUGUUUUAAAAAUUGCAAAAACAAUCCCUAAAACUGAGUUCUCUACCUCUCUCUUAAAUAAUCCCAUUGACAAGAGAGACAUCUAAAAUUGAUUUUUACAACUUCGAAUAUCAUGUGGUGAUGAGUUUUGUGGGUCCAAUGUUCCUUGAGUCGAGGAUCUAUCGGAAACAGUCUUCUAUCUUUAUAAGGUAUGAGUAAGAUCUGCGUACAAAUUAUCAUCCUCAUACCUCAUUUAUGAGAUUGCACUGGUUUCGUUAUUGUUGUUGAUGAGUUUUGUGGGUAUUAAUACGAGUUUGCAAUAUAUUAUACUAUGUCAUAGACGAGAUCCUACUAUGAGGAAGAGACUUUUUCAUGAUUUGUAUUCAAAUUUUAACGUCAAAAUUGUACAACAAUUACUCUUAAAGUUUCCGUAUCUGCAUAGUGAGAAUUCUCAAAUUGACUCGUUUUUAACUUACCACAAUUUUAUUCCUUUAUUUAAAUCGAGUCCAAUAACGUGACAAGCUCUUGCAUGCAGAAUUAACAUCAAAGUUGUAGGUUCUCAAAGGAAAAAAAAAAAAAAAAAAAAGAGAAAGAAAAAGGAACUUUGCAAAUCCAAAUGUGAGCUAAGUAUUUGGUAUAAAUUUGGAUGCCGUAAAAAGUUAUUGAAAAUGAUAGAAAAUAAUUCAAUCCUGAAGCAAAACUAGAGUUACAAUUAAAAAUGUCUGACAAGCACAUAGAUUAGGUUUGGGGUUCGGCAACAGGUUGUUACUGCAGAAGCACCGUUGUAAAGUGCUAACAUAUUUGUUAAAAUUGAUCUCCUUUGUCGUUCAAGGAAGAGCUGGCUGGAUUUUAAUAAUAAGUGGUACCUUUUAACUAUGUCAAAAUAUAAAAUUAGUCUAUGGGUCGAAAUUAAUUAUAUUUGUUAGCUAAAAAUAUAUUAUAUAUAUAAAAUAUAAAUUUCAUUAGCUAUUAUUUUUAAUAACGAUUAAAAAAUAUUUUUAUUAAGGCGGAAUAUAUAUACGGCUACUUUAACUUACUCAAUAUUUUCAUCUAGCUACCUCGACUAAGGCAUAUACCUAUUAAAUACAUUAAAUAGCACAACUAUGUGUCAAUUUAAUUUUGCCCGCUUACUUGGCACAAGACGUGAGAAACAACCAAACUGAGCGCGUGACUUCUUCCACAUCCGCUGACAUGGAUUCCACAACGGUAAAAAUUAAGAUCCCCUCCCUUUAUUAACUUAUCCCAACAGAAUACCAAAGAUAAUAAACCCUAAAUCCUCUCAUCUUCUCCCCUUCUUCUCCCAUGGUAAAUGUGCGACUAAAUUGAAAUAGAAGAAUUCAAGCUUCAAUUUUUCCUCUUCUCGCUACAAUUUAAAAUUCAAGUUUCUUCUCCUCACAUCAAAUCAAGCUUCAAUUUCUUUGUUUUCUUUUUUGCACUACAUAAUCUCUGCCGAAUAUGGUAUACUUAUAUCGAUGUGGGCAUGUUGCAAAGUUUCAAACUUGUUAGACUAAUAAAUACCCAAGUCGCAGAUUCUACUGCUGCCAUUUGGGAAAAGUAAGUAUUUUUGUUCAAUUUUUUUUUAAAUUUUCGGAAUCCUCAAUCUCAAGUUACAUCUUUCUUCCUUGUAGGCAUCUGGUGCAUGCAAAUUCUUUAUGUGACAUGAUGAUCAUAUGUCUGAGCAACCAAUGAGGGUUAUUUGUGGUCUCUUAAAGAAAGCUAACAAAUUUGAAAGACAAAAUGCUCGGUUGAAGUGAGUUGUGGCUCUACUGUUGCUUUACAUAAGCUGGACUUGGCUUAAGGCUAUCUAGUUUUUAGUAAUUUGUUAUGUAUUAAUGGAUGAUUUAGGGUAGGUUUUGUUCAGUAAUUUGUAAUUUGUAAUUUGUAAUAUGCAAUUUAUUCUAGUAUUGGUUUGGCCUAUUGAUCAUUGUUAAUCUAGAGUUUUCACCUUAUGUUUGUGCAAAUUAUGUAAUGUAACAAGUUGUUCGUUCUCUUAAUAUGAAUUUCAAUAUUCGUUGUUCAUUA